UACGUAGGGGGCGAGCGUUGUCCGGAAUCAUUGGGCGUAAAGCGCGUGUAGGCGGCUUGGUAAGUCCGUUCUGAAAGCCCGGGGCUCAACCCCGGGAGGCGGAUGGAUACUGUCAAGCUCGAGUCCGGAAGAGGCAAGUGGAAUUCCGAGUGUAGAGGUGAAAUUCGUAGAUAUUCGGAGGAACACCAGUGGCGAAGGCGGCUCACUGGUCCGGUACUGACGCUGAGGUGCGAAAGCGUGGGGAGCAAACAGG
rnacentral:rRNA from 1 species